CGACUUAAACAGGUAAGCCGACUGUUGGCGCCGCAUCGAGCUAGUUUAAUUAAUUCUCGGAUGGGAUACACCUAUUGUUAAUAAAAAAGGUUAAUCUUUCUGGGAAUUUUGUUGUAUUGAUUGCUAGAGAUAGUAUUAUUUCUGUAAGUAAUGAACGACUAUUAUACGAAGAUAUUGGAACCAUCCCAGGUUUAUUGAGUUCGAAACUAUAAGUAAUAGUGUUCAUCGAUCUACGUUAGACGAACUAUCCUUUUAUGUUGGAGAAAAUACACCGGAGAGUAAUUUAAAGCAGAUCGCAACGCUCAUUCAAGCGGAGCGCCACGGGCGUCGCUACCUGCUGUCGUAAUCGACUAUCAAGUGUCAAAUAAAAUUACUUUGGGCAAUUGAACUGGUAAAAAAUACACUUGUUUACGAGAACCGUCUUCAUAUCCUCUCAGAUCUAUCAUGUACGUUAUUAAAUAAAAUAUUACGGAUAACUUACCGAAGCCCUCUGAAUCACUGGCAGGGUAUGCGGGGCACGGUUGCACCAUAGUUGCCGCACGUGAUAACACGUCAAGAGCCGAUUCCACCUUCUCCAUUUUUAACUGAAACGUAAAGAACUUAGUAAGUUUUUACUAUACUUUAUAUUGAACUGUUUGACUUUGUGAAUACUUUGUGAAUAAUUUAAUAACUUAACUUUAAUACAUAUUUGAAAUUCAUUAUGAGGAUAUUGGGUCUAAUUGGAAUAGUAAUAGGUGAAGUACCUACAGAAAGUUGUCGAAAAGGAAAUAAUGAAGUUGAUGCCGCGGGCAACAACUAGUUAUGGAAUAAAGACUAAAUUUACUUUCUAUAUGAAUAAAUUAAGGCUUACGAUUGUCAUGAGCGUUAUGUGCAAUGUGGAAAGCCUGCAUACCAUAUGAAAGAAACGAUUGACGAUAACAUAAGUGUUGCUAAUAGUAUCUAUUGUAGUUACGCUCAACAAGAAUGUUCAUAUACGCAUAAAAUUUACUUAAAGUGUCUACCUAUACACUUCCCCUCAUUACAAUGCGACGAGUUUUUGCGCCAAUUCCGCAAAGAGCAUUCGCGGACAGAGCAAGGAAUUCAUGUCUGCGCACGUAAAAAUAUUUGGCGCGCAGAAUGAAUGUCGCCGUGAAAUCAUAAGACGAUAUGCAAAUACCAAAGCGGAAAUUCUUCGAGCCAUGUAAACGGCUAGACAUUGGACAGACGUAGUUGUAAAGCGCAAAUGAUUGUACCAAGAUUCCAAUAGUUACCAUAGGCUUGGGAAUCAAGCCAAUGUUUGAGUGGUGCUGCUCUGAUGAAAUGUAACUAACUACGUGACGAUGACAUAAAAUGCUUUAUAGAGGGACACAUGUUCGAUUGCUAAAUCAUGUUUUAUAAAUACUAGCUGCGCGACCGAGUUUCUCUCGUGAGAUUAGGCCCGAAUCUGACGAGAUGUCAACAGAUUUGUUGAGAACUCUUCAGUGUGUCUUGUAACAUGUUUUAAAUUUUUAAGGCUAAUAUAAUAGUUGAUCAAUCAAAUCGAUAAUCUUAAUGCGAUGCAUCAUUAACAGAGGAACAUCGGAAUUUGUAUUGGAUGCCACGUUCAGUGGCAGAAUAAAGA